rnacentral:tRNA from 1 species
GUCCCUAUAGUUAAAAGGAUAUAACAGAUUUCUUCUAAAAAUCCAUUCUAGGUUCGAGUCCUAGUGGGGACG